UCAGCGGAAAGUAGCUUGCUACUUUGCCGGCGAGCGGCGGACGGGUGAGUAAUGUCUGGGGAUCUGCCUGAUGGAGGGGGAUAACUACUGGAAACGGUAGCUAAUACCGCAUAACCUCGCAAGAGCAAAGUGGGGGACCUUCGGGCCUCACGCCAUCGGAUGAACCCAGAUGGGAUUAGCUAGUAGGUGGGGUAAUGGCUCACCUAGGCGACGAUCCCUAGCUGGUCUGAGAGGAUGACCAGCCACACUGGAACUGAGACACGGUCCAGACUCCUACGGGAGGCAGCAGUGGGGAAUAUUGCACAAUGGGCGCAAGCCUGAUGCAGCCAUGCCGCGUGUGUGAAGAAGGCCUUCGGGUGUAAAGCACCUCAUCCAAGAAACCAU
rnacentral:rRNA from 1 species